GGUUCCAUGGCGGAGUUGGUUAGCGCAUGAUACUAAUAUUUCGUAUAUUACAUCAAGGUCGAGAGUUCAACCCUCUGUGGAACCA